GCCUGAGUGGGCUCAGUCAGUUGAGCGUCUGACUUUGGCUCAGGUCAUGAUCUCGCAGUUUGUGGGUUCCAUCCCCGCGUCAGGCU
rnacentral:tRNA from 1 species